rnacentral:misc_RNA from 1 species
UCAGCUUUGGUCCGGCUGCGCACGGAGCUGGUCGUAUUUCAAUACAACAAUAACCGAUUGCCAAUAACUAGUUCCAUAAUGAUUCGUUUCUGUAACCGAAGGUGGGCAGCCUUUGUCUGUAUACUUGCGGUCUCGAUUGGAGUAUUGCACGGCAUGUCACACGUUGAAUUUUACGAAUAUUACUCCCAAUUUUUGGAUGACAUCGAUAGACUGUGUGAACUGAGUGUUGACUACAUCUCGUAUGUCAUUACGCGGCUGCUGAGCAGUAAAAAAACUGAUAAAUUGCAGAUGGUUAACGAGCAUUACAACCUGAUGGUUCAGAGAGCUCGGCCCUUGUUCACGCUUUUCGACGAAGACAUACGGAGGCUUAUCAUAUUCACAGACAACUUGGAGAGCAUAGAAAUGGUCAAGAAGUUCCUUUACUCUUACUUCAGACAGAGUGCAAUCAACUUGAUCGAUCACUUGAAACGGGUCUACAACUUGUGACAAUGCCUGUAGCUUAAUAGAUUUCUACCGUGUUGAAAUUGAUGAGUCUUCUUAGACGUGCAAGUUAAGAUUUCACAUUUGAAUACGGCAGCUUGUUAUUUUUGAUUGGAUUGCCAGGUGAUGUUCGUUCAACUUCUGUACGGCUACGAUGGUGGCACUACAAAUUUUUCUGUAAAUCAAUAAAUCGUUGUGGAAAAACAUA